rnacentral:rRNA from 1 species
UACGGAGGAUGCAAGCGUUAUCCGGAAUGAUUGGGCGUAAAGCGUCCGCAGGUGGCAAUGUAAGUCUGCUGUUAAAGAGUCUAGCCCAACUAGAUAAGAGCAGUGGAAACUACAUAGCUAGAGUACGUUCGGGGCAGAGGGAAUUCCUGGUGUAGCGGUGAAAUGCGUAGAGAUCAGGAAGAACACCAGUGGCGAAGGCGCUCUGCUAGGCCGUAACUGACACUGAGGGACGAAAGCUAGGGGAGCGAAUGGG